CCUAGGAUGGAUGCUGAUGGAAGUUGACCUCAUGUUACUGUGCAUAUCGAAUAGCUUCAAAUCUUGUAAAAAUUGAACCAGUGGAUAAUCGUGCAUGAGAGAGUUCAUGGUAGUUGACAGUCAAAUGUCAUGGAUGGGUGCUCCAUAUACUCAGCCUUUUAAAUGAUCUUGUGCGUGACAUACGUUCGGCAGUGACAAAAUGAACUGCUACUCCGGAAUAUGGAAUUAUGAACUCCGGUUUCUUUUAAUGUGUGCAUGCAAUUUUCGGCCUGGUAAUUGUAGGAGCAAUUUGUCUAUAUGCUUAAAUUUUCAACACGGUCUGUUUUGCCAAUUUUGAUUGCACCAGCUCUGUUUUAUACUCCGGACAUCAACAUGGAUAAAGCAGUUGGCAGGUAUAGGUAAAAGCCAGCACCCAGCAAUUUUUCCGGCUAUAGUGUAUCGAAAUUAUAACUCAAAAAUUUCC